UUGAAUUUUAAUGAAGAGUUUGGUUGUAGCUGGCCCAUUCAUUUGGGCAUGUGCACACCUUCCUCUUUCAUCCCACACACACCUGUGAACCUGUGAGACAGAGAUGGGGAAUUACUUGCUGCUUUUGGAAUACAAAGGCAAUAGGUUAUUGGACCCCCCCUGUCUACUCAAUUAAUAUAAACUCAUUUAUUUUAAAACGAAUGUAAUGGAUGUAACACAUCUCAUAC
rnacentral:misc_RNA from 1 species